CACAGGAAGAACUUGUCUGCUACUUAGAUUCUUAUAUUUAUUUAAAAUUAUUGAGCAUAAUGGUCGUAGUAAGCCUGGCCAUCAUCUGAGUUAAACAGCCUAGUAUAUUAGGAAGAAACUGGACUAGAAUUCGGAACAACCCUGGUUCAAAUCCCAGCUCUGCUACUAACAAGUAAUGUGCCGUUAAGCAAGUGCCCUAACCCUUCUGGAUCUCAGUUUCUUAUCACAAAAUAGGUUUAAAGUCUCAGCCAUAUAUCACAAAAUUUUUGUGAGGAUUCAAUAAAAUACGAUUUUGUAGAUGGCAGCUUUUUAAAAAAUUACUCAUUUGGGCAAAAUCCUAUCAAAAAUAAAACUCCUAGCCAGAGAGUCAGAACUAGAGGUGGUGGAGUGAACACCGUACCAGGCAAUGGAAGAGGCACUGGCCUAGACCAAGCUUGAGCUUGCACCACUGUCACCUGGAGGGCUUGUUCCAACAUGGAUGGCUGGACCCACCCCCAGAGUUUCGGAUUUAUUAGGUCUGUGCUGGGCCCUGAGAAUGUUUAUUUAAAACAAAUUCCUGGAUGCUACUGGUUCAGUUGCCACACUCAGACCCGCUGGCCUUGAACUUGGAAGACGUGGGUUUUAUUCCUGGAUUCCACAGUUUACUAGCCGUCACUUAGAGAAUUUAAAUUACUUACCUAAGUCUUGGUUUCUUAUUUGCAAACUACCUAUUCUACCCAUUUUAUAAGACUUUUUAAAGGAUAAAAUAAAAGAAUACAUAUGCAAAUUA